CUCUGUCAAGUUAUAUUCCGGCACAUUAAAUUCACUGUAGUUGGCUGAGGCGGCUAACAAUAGGCAACGUCUUCAACCAAUUUGACUAACAGGAUGUGCGUCUGUUACCUAUGUCUCUGACCUACUUGGGCUGAUUUUCCCAUUACACUACCCCUUUGGAUGUUAUUAUAUCAUUAUGGAAAUGGAUAGAGGGCUAGAGAAGAUUUCUGAAGUAGUUAACUCCAUUGACUAGAGGUCAGUGGUGCAAGUCAUUUCAAUUUAGUGACACAGUAUUGUCACAGUAUUUGAGGAGCCUGCUGAACACUACCUCAAUCCGAGACGAGACAUUGAUCGAUUAUGUGUUGGAGCGGCAUUGAGGGGGUGAUAAGCUCAUAUUUCUCUACACAUUCUAACCCCUUCAUCACCAACUAGAUAACAGUUGGAGCCCUGUUUAAAAUUGUCACUCUGGAAGAAGGCUCAAACAGGUCUCACAGGGAUGAUAGGAUUUUCUGUUUCUUCUCAUUUAAAAAAACAAAACAAAAAAACAACUUGAAAUAUAAUUCAUAGAACUGCAAGUGGGUUGACCCACCUGGUCUCUUGGACUAAUUUGUGUCUUUGUUUGUUUAAGGAUAACACUCUUCUUUACUUUCUCAGCAGAGUGCAACGUCGGUCAUUGCUUAAUAGCAGAAACAUUGAACCCGUCAGUGUGUUCGUGUGUUACUGGAUUCAUAACCAAGGCCUACAACAACCUGGAAUUGUGCUGAAUUAGGCUAUGGUUUGCCCUGAUAUGUAACGGUAGCAGCAGCGCUUCCCAGAGCAUCUCCCCCCUAGCCAGCUACUCCACCAACCCUUCA
rnacentral:lncRNA from 1 species